CUCUUUUUGAUUAUAAUUUAAAGUAGGGCCUGCCCACUGAUUAUUUGAAGGGCCGCAGUAUUUUGACUGUGCAAAGGUAGCAUAAUCAUUAGUUUUUUAAUUGAAAGCUUGUAUGAAUGGUUUGAUGAGGAAAUAACUGUUUCAAUUUAAAUUUUAUGAAUUUUAUUUUUAAGUAAAAAGGCUUAAAUGAAUUUUAAAGACGAGAAGACCCUAUAGAGUUUAACUAAGUUUAAAUUUUUUACUUAAAGAAUUAUUUUGUAGAGAUUUUAAUUAAGUUUUGUUGGGGUGACAAAAAAAUUUAAAUAACUUUUUUUUAUAAAUACACUAAUUAGUGAAAUUUUGAUCCAUGAAUUUGAUUAAAAGAUUAAAUUACCUUAGGGAUAACAGCGUAAUUAUUUUUGAUAGUUCAAAUUGAAAAAAAAGAUUGCGACCUCGAUGUUGGAUUAAAAUUAAUUUUUGGUGGAGAAGCUAAAAAAUUAGGUCUGUUCGACCUUUAAAAUUUUACAUGAUCUGAGUUU
rnacentral:rRNA from 1 species